AUUGAAUGCUCUUGGCGUGGAUGAGGCAUGCAAGUCGAACGGAAUCGUAGCAAUGCGAUUUAGUGGCGGAAGGGUUAGUAAUACAUGGAUAAAUUACCUCUUACCUGGGGAUAACGGUUGGAAACGGCCGCUAAUACCGAAUGAGGAGGUUCAAGGCAUCUUGAACAUAUCAAAGUAUGGGACCGUGAAAGCGGCCAUGCGGUGGGAGAAAUGUCCAUGCGAUAUCAGCUUGUUGGUGUGGUAAUGGCGCACCAAGGCUUAGACGUCUAGGCGGAUUGAGAGAUUGACCGCCAACACUGGGACUGAGACACUGCCCAGACUCCUACGGGAGGCUGCAGUCGAGAAUCAUUCGCAAUGGGCGAAAGCCUGACGAUGCGACGCCGUGUGAACGAAGAAGGCUUUCGGGUUGUAAAGUUCUUUCGCUUGGGAACAAGAGAAUAAUACUAAUAGUAUUAUGAUUUGAGGGUACCAGGUAAAGAAGCACCGGCUAACUACGUGCCAGCAGCUGCGGUAAUACGGAGGGUGCAAGCAUUAAUCGGAUUUAUUGGGCGUAAAGAGUGCGUAGGCGGGAAUAUAAGUCAAACGUGAAAGCCCGGAGCUCAACUCCGGAACCGCGUCUGAAACUGUAAUUCUUGAGGAUAGGCGGAGAAAGCGGAAUUCCACGUGUAGCGGUGAAAUGCGUAGAUAUGUGGAAGAACACCUGUGGCGAAAGCGGCUUUCUAGCUUAUUCCUGACGCUGAGGCACGAAAGCAAGGGGAGCGAACAGGAUUAGAUACCCUGGUAGUCCUUGCCGUAAACGAUGUAUACUUGAUGUAGCUGAUUUCAACCUCAGCUGUGUCGUAGCUAACGUGUUAAGUAUACCGCCUGGGGAGUACGCCCGCAAGGGUGAAACUCAAAAGAAUUGACGGGGGCCCGCGCAAGCAGUGGAGCAUGUGGUUUAAUUCGAUGCAACGCGAAGAACCUUACCUGGGUUUGACAUCCUGUAAUCCCUAAGAAAUUAGGGAGUGCCUUCGGGAACACAGUGACAGGUGCUGCAUGGCUGUCGUCAGCUCGUGUCGUGAGAUGUUUGGUUAAGUCCAGCAACGAGCGCAACCCUUAUCGUUAGUUGCCAGCACGUAAUGGUGGGAACUCUAGCGAGACUGCCCGGUUAACCGGGAGGAAGGCGGGGAUGACGUCAAGUCCUCAUGGCCCUUAUAUCCAGGGCUACACACGUGCUACAAUGGUAAAUACAAAGGGCAAGCAAGCCAGUGAUGGUUAGCUAAUCCCUAAAGCUUAUCUCAGUCCGGAUUGGAGUCUGCAACUCGACUCCAUGAAGUUGGAAUCGCUAGUAAUCGCGGAUCAGCAUGCCGCGGUGAAUAUGUUCCCGGGCCUUGUACACACCGCCCGUCACACCAUGGGAGUUGAUUAUACCCGACGUCAUUGACUCAACC
rnacentral:rRNA from 1 species